GACUGCACGUCCAAUAGAGGCACAAUGACUCUUCCUCCUACAACUACAUCUGGCACCACAACUACAUCUGGUUGCUACGACAAAACCUCUACUCGAUGGUGCACUGAAAAUAUUUUACUAUGCACAAACCCUAAUUGGGUCUCGUACAUGAUUCAAAGUUGCCAAAGAACCUGCAAUUACUGUACAAUAACCACUUUUCCUCGUACUUAAUUGCCAACUGGACCAGUAACAACUGAUACAUCUCAAACAGAAUGUGGCAAUCCUAGAUUUCAAACUGGUCGUGUAAUUGCUGGAGCAACUCCUAAGAAAGGUGCAUGGCCUUGGCAAACGUUACUUUUUGAAAAUGGAAUAGAGUUUUGUGGAGGCACACUUAUUCAUAGAGAAUGGAUACUAACAGCUGCUCAUUGCAUACAUGGCAAAGAAUACGAACCAGCACAAAUAG
rnacentral:misc_RNA from 1 species